rnacentral:rRNA from 1 species
UACGAAGGGGGCUAGCGUUGCUCGGAAUCACUGGGCGUAAAGGGCGCGUAGGCGGCUUAUCAAGUCGGGGGUGAAAGCCCGUGGCUCAACCACGGAAUGGCCUUCGAUACUGGUAGGCUUGAGACCGGAAGAGGACAGCGGAACUGCGAGUGUAGAGGUGAAAUUCGUAGAUAUUCGCAAGAACACCAGUGGCGAAGGCGGCUGUCUGGUCCGUUCUGACGCUGAGGCGCGAAAGCGUGGGAGCAACAGG